rnacentral:lncRNA from 1 species
UGUAUGAAAGGACCAAAACGGCACCUGAAUGCUAACACACAGAUAUUAAGGGGACCUUUAACGAGGUAGAGAUGCUGACAGAAACCAACCCUGGGGAGAAGACGUUCCCUGUAUUUCUUUUCAACUUUAUAGGGCAGCGAGGGCCACAUAACUGAUGACUGUUUCCAUGAAGCUGAGAAACAAGUUUGGAUUCCCCAGCAUGAAUCUCCUCCCAGACACUGCUGCUCCCAUUAGCUGACUUUCUCAGCCUGAAGAUGUGAUGUUCCACUGGACCUCAGGCAAGGCCCCAAAUGCCAAGGCGCUGACUUGGAGAUGACUGGGGAGCAGGGACUGAGAAAGGACAAAUGCUC